GAGUUUGAUCCUGGCUCAGGAUGAACGCUAGCUACAGGCUUAACACAUGCAAGUCGAGGGGCAUCAGGGAGUUAGCUUGCUAACUUUGCUGGCGACCGGCGCACGGGUGAGUAACGCGUAUCCAACCUUCCCCUUAGUAGGGCAUAGCCCGGCGAAAGUCGGAUUAAUACCCUAUGUUCUUCGUAGAGGACAUCUGAAAUGAAGCAAAGAUUUAUCGCUAAGGGAUGGGGAUGCGUCUGAUUAGGUAGUCGGCGGGGUAACGGCCCACCGAGCCAUCGAUCAGUAGGGGUUCUGAGAGGAAGGUCCCCCACAUUGGAACUGAGACACGGUCCAAACUCCUACGGGAGGCAGCAGUGAGGAAUAUUGGUCAAUGGGCGAGAGCCUGAACCAGCCAAGUAGCGUGCAGGAUGACGGCCCUAUGGGUUGUAAACUGCUUUUGUCGGGGAAUAAAGUGAGGGACGUGUCCCUUAUUGUAUGUACCCGAAGAAUAAGGACCGGCUAAUUCCGUGCCAGCAGCCGCGGUAAUACGGAAGGUCCGGGCGUUAUCCGGA
rnacentral:rRNA from 1 species